rnacentral:tRNA from 1 species
GCGGAUGUGGCGGAAUUGGUAGACGCGCGGCGUUCAGGUCGCCGUGGGCUAAACGCCCGUGGAGGUUCGAGUCCUCUCAUCCGCA